rnacentral:tRNA from 1 species
GAAAUAUUAAUAAAAUGAAUUUCUAAUUCAAAAAAAAAGUAUUAAAUUUACUUAUAUUUCU